rnacentral:rRNA from 1 species
GGUGACUCUAGCAAAGUGGAACCACCCGUUCCCAUACCGAACACGGCAGUGAAACGUUUUAGCGCCGACGAUACUUGCGGGGCGACUUGCCGGGACAAUAGGACGUUGCC